rnacentral:rRNA from 1 species
UCGGCAACGGAUAUCUCGGCUCUCGCAUCGAUGAAGAACGUAGCGAAAUGCGAUACUUGGUGUGAAUUGCAGAAUCCCGUGAACCAUCGAGUUUUUGAACGCAAGUUGCGCCCGAAGCCAUUUGGUUGAGGGCACGUCUGCCUGGGCGUCACGUACACACAUCAUUCCGCAACCMAUUCCCAAUUUUUUGGUGAAUGAGUUCGUGGUGAGAUGAUAUUGGUCUCCCGUGAUUAAUG